AUUGAACGCUGGCGGCAUGCCUUACACAUGCAAGUCGAACGGCAGCACGGGUGCUUGCACCUGGUGGCGAGUGGCGAACGGGUGAGUAAUAUAUCGGAACGUACCUUAUUGUGGGGGAUAACGCAGCGAAAGCUGUGCUAAUACCGCAUAAUCCCUUAGGGGGAAAGCGGGGGACCGUAAGGCCUCGCGCAAUUAGAGCGGCCGAUACCUGAUUAGCUAGUUGGUGAGGUAAAGGCUCACCAAGGCGACGAUCAGUAGCUGGUCUGAGAGGACGAUCAGCCACACUGAGACUGAGACACGGCCCAGACUACUACGGGAGGCAGCAGUGGGGAAUUUUGGACAAUGGGGGCAACCCUGAUCCAGCAAUGCCGCGUGAGUGAAGAAGGCCUUCGGGUUGUAAAGCUCUUUUGUCAGGGAAGAAACAGCAGCUCUAACACAGUAUGCGAAUGACGGUACCUGAAGAAUAAGCACCGGCUAACUACGUGCCAGCCGCCGCAGUAA
rnacentral:rRNA from 1 species